GACGAACGCUGGCGGCGUGCUUAACACAUGCAAGUCGAACGGAAAGGCCCUGCUUGCAGGGUACACGAGUGGCGAACGGGUGAGUAACACGUGGGUGAUCUGCCCUGCACUUCGGGAUAAGCCUGGGAAACUGGGUCUAAUAUCGGAUAGGAGCCAUUUUUAGUGUGAUGGUUGGAAAGUUUUUUCGGUGUAGGAUGAGCUCGCGGCCUAUCAGCUUGUUGGUGGGGUAAUGGCCUACCAAGGCGGCGACGGGUAGCCGGCCUGAGAGGGUGGACGGCCACAUUGGGACUUGGAUACGGCCCAGACUCCUACGGGAGGCAGCAGGGGGGAAUAUUGCACAAUGGGCGCAAGCCUGAUGCAGCGACGCCGCGUGGGGGAUGACGGCCUUCGGGUUGUAAACUCCUUUCGCUAGGGACGAAGCUUUUUGUGACGGUACCUAGAUAAGAAGCACCGGCUAACUACGUG
rnacentral:rRNA from 1 species